UGCCUUGUGAAUAUAGUGGAAACCAAUAGGAAGAGGAAAUACUCCUUUUCUGACAAAGAUUCAGCCAAUGAAAAGCCAUGAACUCUUUGUUUCCUACAGCCCUCCCAACUUUUCCCCCUCUGUAAAAGCAUUCUCCU